UCGAGAAUUUUUCUCAAUGGGGGAAACCCUGAAGGAGCGACGCCGCGUGGAGGAUGAAGGCUUUCGGGUUGUAAACUCCUGUCAUUUGGGAACAAUGCUAUUCGGUUAACUGCCGCGUAGUUGAUAGUACCAGAAGAGGAAGAGACGGCUAACUCUGUGCCAGCAGCCGCGGUAAUACAGAGGUCUCAAGCGUUGUUCGGAUUCAUUGGGCGUAAAGGGUGCGUAGGUGGCGCGCUGAGUCAGGUGUGAAAUUUCGGAGCUUAACUCCGAAACUGCAUUUGAUACUGGCGUGCUUGAGGACUGGAGAGGAGACUGGAAUUCACGGUGUAGCAGUGAAAUGCGUAGAGAUCGUGAGGAAGACCAGUGGCGAAGGCGGGUCUCUGGACAGUUCCUGACACUGAGGCACGAAGGCCAGGGGAGCAAAC
rnacentral:rRNA from 1 species